ACAAAAUCUCACUACGAAGCCCAGGCUGGUCUGGAACUCUCAGUGAUUCUCCCACCUCAGCCUCCUGAAUGCUAAGAUGACAGCUUCCUGGUCCUUGAUGCAGACCAGAAAAAAGGAAGAGGAGGAAGAGAAGGAGGAGGAAGAGGAAGAAGAGAAGGAAGAAGAGGAAGAAGAGAUGGAAGAAGGGGAAAGGAGAUCUGGAGCUGUCUCUUUAAAUCUUUCUAGAAGUCCAACAGAAAUAGAACAUUUAUCUGUGUGAAGGCUACACAGGCUUAACUAAAAAUGUCAAGUUUCUUUGCUGGAAUUUUAACAGGGAACAUGAUAAGUGUACAUUUAUUCAGUAAUGAUCAAUUCCGGGUUCUCUUUUGUAUGAGAUGAAAUGGUGACAUGCUGCUCAGAAGCUCUGCUUGGUUUUGUUUCAUACAAAAUCACCUCUUGAAGUAAUAAUUGCUGGAUGAAUGUUAUCUGAUUGUCCUAAACUCUUGCUCUUCUCUCUGUGUUGUGUGCCCUGGGGAGAGGCUACAAAGAUGGGAUAAUAAAAAAGUAAAAUGUUUGCUUUAAAAAAAAUUUUUUUUUUAAUUUUUUUUUUAGAUAGGGUCAUGUUGUGUGCCCUGGGGAGAGGCUACAAAGAUGGGAUAAUAAAAAAGUAAAAUGUUUGCUUUAAAAAAAAUUUUUUUUUUAAUUUUUUUUUUUAGAUAGGGUCAUGGUGGCUCAUGCCUGUAAUCCCAACACUCAGGAGCCUGAGGCAGGAGGAUUGCUGUGACUUCAAGGCUAGGCUGGGCUACAUAGCAAAACCCUGUCCCCAAACAAAACAGGCCAAGGAUUUAACUCAGUGGCACCACACCUGCCUUGCAAGUGCAAGGUCCUGAGUUUGAUGCCUGGUACCAAAACAAAACAAAACAAAAAAAGGAAGGAUUAGAGGUGUGGGCCACCACACCUGUAUCUGUAUUUUACAGAUGAGAAAACUGAGAUCAAGGGGUCUGAUCAGCUCAAGGUCAUGCAGUGAGGUCAAGGUCAUCUGGCGGCAGGGACCGGACCCCAGGCUUCUUGGUGUCCUGGGUGUGGAGCAGGUGCCGCUGUUCAGUGCAUUGAUCUUGCAUAUGCUGCGUGCCCACCUGGCCAUACAUCGGGAGAACAUUUCCCUGAGAGUCCCUUGUGCCUGCCCAGCCCCUCACUUCCUCCCUGGCUCCAGGCCGGUCAGAUUUGCCUGCUUCAUGAGUUUCACAGCGGAGUUUAUUCUCUUGCACCUGAGGGGUUUUUUGCUUGUUUGUUUGUUUGUUUGUUUGCUGUACUGAGGAUUGAAUUUAGGGCCUUCACACUGAGCUGCAUCCCCAUCCUUUUUUUAUACUUGUACAUUUUGAGAACAGGUCUUACUAAAUUGCUAAGUUGCCAGGCUCAAACUUGGCUCAAACUAAAGCUAGGCUCAAACUUGCAAUCCCCCUGCCUCAGCCUCCCAGAGUGCUGGGGUCACAGGUGUGCACCAACGCACCUGGUUUGACUUUUUACUCAGCAUAAGGAUUUUGAGAUUUAUCCCUGUCAUUGGAUCUAUCAUGGAUCUAUCCUUUUCACUGCAGAGUAAUAUUCCACAGUGUAGACUCACAUUGCCACGAUCUCUGUAUCUCAUAGUUUGUUUAUCCAUUCAUUUGCCUUUGGAAUGUUUGGCCCCUUCCAGAUUAUGGCUGCCAUGAGCAAUUCACCCUUGAACAUGGGUAUAGGAAUCCUUGUGUGGACAUGUGCUUUCACCUCUCUUGUGUUAGUAACUGGAAGGAGUGUGGGGGAUGCUGGCCAUAUGGUAAGUGUAUGUUCACUCCUCAAGAAACUGCCAGCCUGAAUGGUGGGGCACACCUGUCGUCCCAGCAUUUGGGAGGCUGAGGCAGGAGGAUCACCACAAGUCUGAGACCUGCCUGGGCUCCAUCGUGAGGACAUUAGUGACAGUCAGCCUUGCUCCUGCAGUCACAGCACAGCAGGUGCCCGGGAAGCAGGCGGAGGG
rnacentral:lncRNA from 1 species